ACCCUCCAGGUUCCUCAGCCAUCAAACCUAAGCACUGUUCUGAGUGGCUGUAAAUGGAGGAAAAAGUAAAAGUGAAACUGACUUAAAUUAUUUUGUGAACAUGGGGUAGUAUCAAACAAAA
rnacentral:snoRNA from 1 species